GGGGGGGGGGGGGGGGGGGCCGGGGGGGGGGGGGGGGAGGGGGGGGGGGGGGGGGGGGUGCGGUUGCGGGUGGGGGGGGGGGGGCGGGGGAGGGGGACCACGGCAUCUACUUUUUCUGGGGUGAUAAGUUCGGGGAACGUACGCUCGUACCGCAUACGACCUCCGGGUGAAAGCAGGGUAUCUUCGUCCCGUGCGCGAUUGAAUGAGCCGAUGUCGGAUUAGCUAGUUAGCGUGUUAACGGCCCACUACGGCGACGAUCCGUAGCUGGGCUGAGAGGAUGAUCAGCCACACUGGAACUGAGACACGGUCCAGACUCCUACGGGAGGCAGCAGUGGGGAAUAUUGGACAAUGGGCGCAAGCCUGAUCCAGACAUACCGCGUGGGUGAAGAAGGCCUUCGGGUUGUAAAGCCCUUUUGUUGGGAAAGAAAAGCAGCAGGUUAAUACCCCGCUGUUCUGACGGUACCCAAAGAAUAAGCACCGGCUAACUUCGUG
rnacentral:rRNA from 1 species